GACGUAGGGGGCCAGCGUUGUUCGGAAUUACUGGGUGUAAAGGGUGCGUAGGCGGCGCGGUAAGUCGGGUGUGAAAUCUCGGAGCUUAACUCCGAAACUGCAUUCGAUACUGCCGUGCUUGAGGACUGGAGAGGAGACUGGAAUUUACGGUGUAGCGGUGAAAUGCGUAGAUAUCGUAAGGAAGACCAGUGGCGAAGGCGGGUCUCUGGACAGUUCCUGGCGCUGAGGCACGAAGGCCAGGGGAGCAAACGGG
rnacentral:rRNA from 1 species